rnacentral:rRNA from 1 species
GACGAACGCUGGCGGCGUGCUUAACACAUGCAAGUCGAACGGUAAGGCCCUUCGGGGUACACAAGUGGCGAACGGGUGAGUAACACGUGGGUGAUCUGCCCUGCACUUCGGGAUAAGCCUGGGAAACUGGGUCUAAUACCGGAUAGGACCACUGCCUGCAUGGGUGGUGGUGGAAAGCUUUUGCGGUGUGGGAUGGGCCCGCGGCCUAUCAGCUUGUUGGUGGGGUGAUGGCCUACCAAGGCGACGACGGGUAGCCGGCCUGAGAGGGUGACCGGCCACACUGGGACUGAGAUACGGCCCAGACUCCUACGGGAGGCAGCAGUGGGGAAUAUUGCACAAUGGGCGCAAGCCUGAUGCAGCGACGCCGCGUGAGGGAUGACGGCCUUCGGGUUGUAAACCUCUUUCAGCACCGACGAAGCGCAAGUGACGGUAGGUGCAGAAGAAGGACCGGCCAACUACGUGCCAGCAGCCGCUGCCG